rnacentral:rRNA from 1 species
GGGGAUAAAUUAAUAAAAUAUAAUUAAUAAAAAAAUUUUUAAUAUUGGGGGGUAUUAAAGUAUUUUUUAAAGAAAAAAUAAAAAGUUUUAUAGUGAAUUAGUAUUGUAAAAUAAAUUUGAAAUAAAAUUGAAAAUGAAAUAAAGAAAAAGUAAAUUUAAUUUAUUGUAUCUUGUGUAUCAGAGUUUAUUUAAAAAUAUUUAGUAAAUAAUAAAAUCUCGAAUUUAAAAGAGUUAAUUAAUUAUAAAAGUUAAUGUUGAAUAAUUAUUUUAAAUAAUUAAUUUGAAAUGAAAUGUUAAUCGUUUUUAAAUAUAUCUAGUUUUUUUAGAAAAAAAUUUAAUUUUGAAUUUAAAAAAUUUUUUAUUUAAUUAAUUAAAUAAAAAAUUUUAAAAUUAAAUAUUUUAAGGGAUAAGCUUUAAUUUAUAUAUUUAUAAUAAAAAUAAUUUUAUUAAAAUUUUUAAAAUUUAUAUUGUUUAAAAAUUAUAAUUUGUUAAAAAAAAUUUUAUAGUAAAUAAAAUUUAAUAAUCAUAUUUAAUUUUUUAUAAAAAAAUAUUUUUUAAUAAGAAAAUUAUAGAAAUAAUGAUAAAAUUAGUAUAUUAUUAAUUAAAAAUUUAAAUAUAAAUUAAAAUUAAUUUAAAGGAAUUCGGCAAAAUUUUAUAUUCACUUGUUUAUCAAAAACAUGUCUUUUAGGAAAUAAUUUAAAGUCUAAUCUGCCCACUGAUUAAAGAAAAAUUAAAGGGCUGCAGUAUAUUGACUGUACAAAGGUAGCAUAAUCAUUAGUCUCUUAAUUGGAGACUUGUAUGAAAGAUUUGAUGAAAUAUAAACUGUCUCUAAAUUAUUAAUAAAAAUUAAUUUUUUAGUUAAAAAGCUAAAAUUUAUUUAAAAGACGAGAAGACCCUAUAGAGUUUUAUAAUAAUAAUAAUUAAAAUUAAAUAUUUAAUUAUAAAUUAAAAUUAUUAUUAUUAUUUUGUUGGGGUGAUAGAAAAAUUAAAAAAACUUUUUUUAAUUAAAAUCAUAAAUAAGUGAGUUAUUGAUCCAUAUUAAUAAUGAUUAUAAGAAAAAAUUCACCUUAGGGAUAACAGCGUAAUUUUUUUUUUUAGUACAAAUAAAAAAAAAAGGUUGCGACCUCGAUGUUGGAUUAAGAUAAAAAUUAAAUGCAAAAGUUUAAAAUUUUGAUCUGUUCGAUCAUUAAAAUCUUACAUGAUCUGAGUUCAAACCGGUGUGAGCCAGGUUGGUUUCUAUCUUUAAAAAAUUAAAAUAUUUUAGUACGAAAGGAUCAAGUAUUUUAAAUAAUUUAAAAAAAAAUGAAUAUUAAUAAAAUUAUUUAACU